UUCUGUAAGCCUGCGAAGGUGGCCUGUGAGGGUUGCUGGAGGUAUCAGAAGUGCGAAUGCUGACAUAAGUAACGAUAAUGCGGGUGAAAAGCCCGCACGCCGGAAGACCAAGGGUUCCUGUCCAACGUUAAUCGGGGCAGGGUGAGUCGACCCCUAAGGCGAGGCCGAAAGGCGUAGUCGAUGGGAAACAGGUUAAUAUUCCUGUACUUGGUGUUACUGCGAAGGGGGGACGGAGAAGGCUAUGUUAGCCGGGCGACGGUUGUCCCGGUUUAAGCAUGUAGGCGGAGGUUCCAGGUAAAUCCGGUACCUUUUAACGCUGAGGUGUGAUGACGAGGCACUACGGUGCUGAAGUAACAAAUGCCCUGCUUCCAGGAAAAGCCUCUAAGCAUCAGGUAACAUUGAAUCGUACCCCAAACCGACACAGGUGGUCAGGUAGAGAAUACCAAGGCGCUUGAGAGAACUCGGGUGAAGGAACUAGGCAAAAUGGUGCCGUAACUUCGGGAGAAGGCACGCUGAUAUGUAGGUGAAGCCCCUGCGGGUGGAGCUGAAAUCAGUCGAAGAUACCAGCUGGCUGCAACUGUUUAUUAAAAACACAGCACUGUGCAAACACGAAAGUGGACGUAUACGGUGUGACGCCUGCCCGGUGCCGGAAGGUUAAUUGAUGGGGUUAUCCGUAAGGAGAAGCUCUUGAUCGAAGCCCCGGUAAACGGCGGCCGUAACUAUAACGGUCCUAAGGUAGCGAAAUUCCUUGUCGGGUAAGUUCCGACCUGCACGAAUGGCGUAAUGAUGGCCAGGCUGUCUCCACCCGAGACUCAGUGAAAUUGAACUCGCUGUGAAGAUGCAGUGUACCCGCGGCAAGACGGAAAGACCCCGUGAACCUUUACUAUAGCUUGACACUGAACAUUGAGCCUUGAUGUGUAGGAUAGGUGGGAGGCUUUGAAGCGUGGACGCCAGUCUGCGUGGAGCCAACCUUGAAAUACCACCCUUUAAUGUUUGAUGUUCUAACGUUGGCCCCUUAUCGGGGUUGCGGACAGUGUCUGGUGGGUAGUUUGACUGGGGCGGUCUCCUCCCAAAGAGUAACGGAGGAGCACGAAGGUUAGCUAAUCCUGGUCGGACAUCAGGAGGUUAGUGCAAUGGCAUAAGCUAGCUUGACUGCGAGCGUGACGGCGCGAGCAGGUGCGAAAGCAGGUCAUAGUGAUCCGGUGGUUCUGAAUGGAAGGGCCAUCGCUCAACGGAUAAAAGGUACUCCGGGGAUAACAGGCUGAUACCGCCCAAGAGUUCAUAUCGACGGCGGUGUUUGGCACCUCGAUGUCGGCUCAUCACAUCCUGGGGCUGAAGUAGGUCCCAAGGGUAUGGCUGUUCGCCAUUUAAAGUGGUACGCGAGCUGGGUUUAGAACGUCGUGAGACAGUUCGGUCCCUAUCUGCCGUGGGCGCUGGAGAAUUGAGGGGGGCUGCUCCUAGUACGAGAGGACCGGAGUGGACGCAUCACUGGUGUUCGGGUUGUCAUGCCAAUGGCAUUGCCCGGUAGCUAAAUGCGGAAGAGAUAAGUGCUGAAAGCAUCUAAGCACGAAACUUGCCCCGAGAUGAGUUCUCCCUGAGACUUUAAGUCUCCUGAAGGAACGUUAAAG
rnacentral:rRNA from 1 species